rnacentral:rRNA from 1 species
AUUGAACGCUGGCGGCAUGCUUUACACAUGCAAGUCGAACGGUAACAGGUUAAGCUGACGAGUGGCGAACGGGUGAGUAAUGCAUCGGAACGUGCCCGAUCGUGGGGGAUAACGCAGCGAAAGCUGCGCUAAUACCGCAUAAGAUCUGAGGAUGAAAGCGGGGGACCGUAAGGCCUCGCGCGAUCGGAGCGGCCGAUGUCAGAUUAGGUAGUUGGUGGGGUAAAGGCUCACCAAGCCGACGAUCUGUAGCUGGUCUGAGAGGACGACCAGCCAAAAUGGGACUGAGACACGGCCCAGACUCCUACGGGAGGCAGCAGUGGGGAAUUUUGGACAAUGGGCGAAAGCCUGAUCCAGCAAUGCCGCGUGCAGGAAGAAGGCCUUCGGGUUGUAAACUGCUUUUGUACGGAGCGAAAAGGCUCUCUCUAAUACAGGGGGCUCAUGACGGUACCGUAAGAAUAAGCACCGGCUAACUACGUGCCAGCCGCCGCAGUAA